ACGCACACACCUUCGCCACCAGCAUAUAGGGAAGAUGCCAUUCCCCUUCGCAGGCUCGCAGCAUAGCAAUGCCUACUUGCUUGCCCCAGGAAAACAUUACGCAGAGUAGGUUGGAGCAGAAACUGAUCCCCUUAGUGAGUGCCCCACCUCAUCCAGCCUGUUACUCUGAGGCACCCAGCGGGCUCAGAGCCUCCCCCAAAACAGGGUGCAGUGGGUGGCUUUUUCUAAAUAAAAGGGGGGGGCAUGUUUUCCCCCUUAGUAAAGGUACAAGGACUAGAUUAUUACAGUGCUGAACAUCUGGUUAUUGGUCGGUGCUGGAGCUCCCUGUGCGUGUGAGCGCAACGGAAAGAAAACUGAGACUGACACACACUGAGAGAAACAGCAUAAUCAAAAAUUUGAAACAUGAGACUGUGAGCUAAGACAACUGGAAGCAGCGGGCAUGGUGGAAAAAGGAGGAUUUUCCUGAAUGUAUCUUUAACUAUUCAGAAGACAUAUUUGAUCAUGUGCAUGUGGCUAGCAGAAGAGAGGUGGCUUUAGUUCAUGUUGCAUUCUGGAUUUGUUUUGUGCCUGCAAGGAGCUGAAUUCCUGAUCGCUGGAGAAGAUCUAACCAUAUUUGCACUGGUUCUGCUCAUGACAGUACAGUGGGGCAGGUAACUGCCAAGAAGGAACUGGGAGGCUCUGACUUUUCCAAGGCUCAGGAUUAUGCAAUGAAGAAGAAUAUUUUAGAAGCUAUAGAGAGAGGUCACAACACCCUGGUCAGAAGGUGGCGAAACUCAGAUACAGAGACAAUAAAGGCCAAAUCUUUCUCCCACCAAAGUCAGUGAGAAGGUUUCCGACAGCAUUAAUAGGCACAGAUAUGUGUGGAUUACAGAUUUGAUGGACCGUUGAUGUGAUAAGAAUUUAAGAAUUGAAAUACUGGGUCAGAACAAAGGUCCAUCUAGCCCAGUAUCCUGUCUUCCAACAGUGGUCAAUGCCAGGUGCUUCAGAGGGAAUGAACAGAACAGGUCCAACCUUGUGAGAAUAUCCUGAGUGUGCCAAAAGGAGAGCAUAUUGCACGGGGGGGAAACCUGUCUACAAAUUGCUACGAACUGAAAGGGUCUCUACUUUCCUCAUUAGGCUUCAAAAAACAUGACCCAGAGUAAAUCCAAGUCAGCUUGUCUCUCAAGAGGACUCUUGUUAGUGCCCCGUGAUACCCUCUACUUACACAGCGAUACUUCUACCAGGUUAUAUGGGGAUGGGAGCCAAUGUACAGGCAAGGGUCAACUGCACCAGUGACCCAUGCCUCAGACAAGUCCUCUGAGAUCCAUGGGUUGUGUGCCAAACCAGCUACUUCGUUCACAAUUGGAUGUGCAGACUCCACAUAUCCCCAGUUGAAAGAGCAAUGGCAAACUCUCCGACUUUCCAGUCACCAGUGUGAAUUAUUCACGUGUUGGGGACCAGGGGGUCCAAAGAGGAGCAGUAAACAUGGUCUAAAAUCCUGUAUCUCCACUUCACACCCAAAUAAACCCUCCCCAUUUUAUAUUCAAAACACAGAGGUAACAGGUAAAAUCAUUACAUUCUGUAUGUGACCACUGGGGGAAAAGAGGAUUAUGAAGCUGCAUUUCAGCUCACACCACAAACGACAAUAAAAGCUCAAUCAGCUUUAGAUGCUUUCUGAAUGCUGAGGUUGAGCCUUGAUGUCAGUAAUGGAUUGUUCCAGAAACGCACAGAGAAAAUUGUACACAUUGGAGACUAAUUUUCAUUUGUGCUGCAUACCCGCAGCUCCCUUUGAUGUCAGUUUGAAUAAUAUUUUGAAUAAUUAGCAGCUUUUACAAUCAGCUUUUGGGUUACAUAUUCUGAGACUCUUUUGCAGUCCUGAAAUCCAUAUACACUGUGUUUACAUAACAGGUAAAUUGGAAGUUUGAUUAAGGGAAAACCUCGGCCCAUAAUGUAGGGCUGUUUUUUGUAAACAAGGUUUUGCUGGUUCCUAAACAUUUCUCCGACUCCUUAACUGAUAACUGUUUUGUGCACUUACAUGUAGGACAUGAGAGGCAAGGAGAUUGUACGAGUCUAGAAAUUUUUAACAUGGUUUGUCAUGUCAUUCUAAUCCCCCAAAAUGACUUUUAGCUUUGUUACCAAAACACUUUUUUCUUUCUGACUAUUCAUAUAGACCCAAACCCUGAUCUCCCACAGCAAGCUGUGGAGGUCUUGAUUGCUUCUUGCUGUUUACCCUAAUUAACUUAUGUAACCACCUGUAAAAUAGUAGAAUUGUUCAAGUAGCAAAAACAAAGGAAAGUCUUAGGACCCAACCCCGGAAGUUUUGCUUUAAGUUAGGACUAAGUAAAACCUGAGUAAUGAAACCCUGAUUUGGCCCAUUGGCUUUCAUGGAAGUUAAAGAUGCUUAGUUCAUUGUGAAAUGAAACUCUCAUCCUUACUCUAGUUGCAUUCCCAGUGACUUGCCUGAGGAGUGGCUGUAUGAUUUGGCCCUGACUGAGUGAAAUUGUUUCACUUGCCACUGUGAAUUUUAUUGCCAUGAUUUAUUUCUUAUUUUAAAGAAAGACUAAGCUUUGUCUCGGUUUUCUCAGACAUACCUCACCAGCAACAGAUACGUCAUCUUGGUGAGAGGUAAGGUGGCUGUGUGGGUGCCUCACCCCAUGAAUCAUAAAAGUUUUGCCCCCACAUUAAGAAUAGAAUGUUCCCCUGUAAAGGCUCACUUAGCCUAGCCAAUUAAAAAUACUGCCUCACACUUGUUUUCUGACUGGAGGAAAAAUAACAACAGUUCACACAGUUGAUGAGCUUUCUUAUUAGUCAGAGGGUAUUAAGCAAGUGGUGGUGAAAGUGAUGGGAAUGGAUGGCUCAGGGAACUGAUAAAGGGAUAUGGAACCUUUUUACCUCUAGUGGUUUGAAUCCAGACCAAAUACGCAGUUACUGAGAAUUGUUAGUGUCAGAAGGUUUUUGUGAAAUGACUCCAUGGUCUCAGUUUGUGUCAUAGUGGACAGAUUGGCAUCACAGAACAAACACUCCACUUAACAUUAAUUGGUAUCUCAGUGGAGGGCCAUGUUCAUAAUGACCCCGGAGACUGAGGGCUUGUCUACACUUACCGGAGGAUCGACGAGUGGUGAUCUAUGCAUCGGCAGUGGAUUUAGCAUGUCUACUGAAGACCUACUACAUCGACUGCAGAUCACUCUCCCGACAGCUCCUGUACUCCACCGGAUCGAGAAGAGUAGGGGGAGUCAACAGGAGGGCAUCUCUCGUCAACAUCGCAUAGUGUGGACCCCGCAGUAAGUAGAUCUAAGUUAUGUCGAUUUUAGUUAUGCUAUUCACGUAACUCAAAUUGCGUAGCUUAGAUUGAAUUUCCACUGUAGUGUAGACAAUGCCUAAGAGCAUAGGGAUUCUACCUGCAGGUCAAGGAUGAGCUAUACUGGUGGGGCAUUGUAUGGAAAACUGACACUACCACUUCCUAUGUUGUAUCUGUUCUGUGAAUAGAGGACUUCUCCAGGGUUGUCAAUCUGACAUCUUUCACCAGUUCCACAUUUCAAACAAAAUUGAAGUAAAAAAAAAAAGUUAAAAGAAUUUGAACAAUUUGUCUGACAUAAAGUACUUACAGGCUAUUGUCUGGAAAUUAUAGGCUGACUUGUUCUUUCACAAUCUCAUGGGUGGAUCCACUAAAGCUGUCAUACGUAAAGCUCCAGCAAAGUACAUUUACACAUCUCCUAUUAGGGAAGUGUAUGAAAAGGAAGUAAUAAAGCUCAUUUUUUAGGAAUUUCCAAUACGGAAAUGUUACUCCUUUUGGAAAAGCUUUCCAAGUCACUACCAGAGAAAGUUCUCUAUGAUUAAUCUUGGAGUCACAUUUUAUAAUGACCACAAUUGUUGUUUGCAUUAGCAAAAAUAAACUGAUGGGUCACAUUUUAUUUUGAACUUUUUACCACAGGCAUUCUUUUACAAGGGGUAGAAGGGAUGCCUCACUAUAGAGAUCUUGAAUGCUUCUGACUGGCUAUUCACUUAUCUAAUCACAUGUGAAUUAGUGGAAUUGUUCAGCAACAAAAACAAAACAGUUUUAGGCCCUAAUCCUGGAUUGAUUUAAGAAUGUGCAUAAUUUUACUCAUGUGAGUAAUCCCACAAGUCAAAGUUAUGUACGUGCUGAUGUCUUUUAACAACAGGGCCUACAUCAGCAAAUCUCCUUCUUAGCAUUUACUCUUGGAGAUUAAAGAAUAGUGUUUACACCAAGAAAAAAUAUAACCAGGAAGACUCCCCAUCUUGAGGUUUUACCUAGUUCUGUGAAUCCUGGGUGUGAACUUUCCCUCUUCUGACUCCCAAACAGCUGCUUUAAAGUCUUUCCACUAGACCUUUUCGUUUCCUAUAUGCCCUUAAAUGUCUUUUAACCUCUGACAAGUAUUCUCUUGCCAUUUUUCCUGGAUUUAAUGCUGUGAAAGGAGGCAAGUCAUUUCUUGAUAGAUUGGGGGUUAGCACCUCUCAGCUUACCUGGACGCUUAGUUAUUAGAGUAUAUCAUGGGCCAGCAUCUCUUUUAUCUGAUUAUCUCAUGAUAAUUGUUCUGUACUUUUAUUACAUAUUUGAAUUUACAGCCUUUAUUUGAGAAUGUUUUUCAUUAUCAAUGCUCUGGAAAUAUUCAGUCACUAUUACAACACUUAAAAGAUUU